UUUAUUAAUUUAUGUAUUCAAUAAACAGUAAAUGAGUAUCUACAGGAAGAGUAUAGAUAUAAGUACACAAAAUAAAAACUCCUGCCCUCAUGGUGCUUCCAUUCUAAAUGUGUAGUGGUCAGCAGAGAUGAAGGUGAAAUGAAUCACAAAUCCAUAAGUGAAAUGUACAGUAUAUCAGAUAGCAAUAAAUAAUAUUACUAAAAAGAAAGAAAGCACAGAAGAUAAGUGUGGAGUGCUGAAAUUUGAAAUACUCUGAUCCGGGAAGGCCUUAUAGAGAAGGCAAUAUUUGAGUAAACAUUUGAAAGAGCAAGUGCAGGACAAAGGUCUAAGAAUAGAGUAAGCAAAUGCAUAGCAAUGGGAGAGGUAAGAUCAAAGAGGUGAGUGGGAGCCAGAUAACCUAGACCAGUGUAAGAACUUUGGUACUAAAUGGAAAAUAUAUCAUUUUUCCAAUAUCCGUGGAUAUUCCAUAUCCAUGGAUAAUUUUGAGCAAGGGAGUAAUAUGGUUUUAUGUGUAUUUCAAAAACAAAAUUAUAGGGUUGCUGUGCUGAAAACAGACUGAACUGGGAAACAAGGCAUAAAGUAGAAGAACAACUAGAAUAUUACCACAAUAAUCAGCGUGAGGAACAAUUGUACUUUGGACCUGAUGAUAUCAACGGAAGGGUGAAAAAUGAUCCAACUGACAAGAUUUGCAGAUGAUCUAUACCAACAGAUGUGUUGUUAAAUUAAUUAUCUUCCUAAACAUAAAGAAGAUAGAAGACCUUUCAGCUACUAUGUCAUCCCAGAUGAUGCCAAUCCAGUCCUACUCCCACAUGGAACUUUAACCACUACUCAUGCUUUCUACAAGUCAAGAAAAAACGUAGAACAAGAACUGGAGUUUGUCUUACAAAUCUUUAUGUAAUAGAAUUUCAGGAAGAGAGGCUACCAUGGACUUUGGAGAAUCUGUCCUGAAAGGUUUAAUGAAGAAUGGAUCUGUGCAGCUCCAGAAGUGGACAGUAAUGGAUGCUAUGCUCUGCCACUCUCAUCUCCUUUUCAGGGCCAAAGGACUUAUUCCACAAACUGCUGGAAGUGCUGCUGAUUGACAGCCCUCAGCUCUCAGCUCAUCUUGUAAAUUGUCCUUACCUUAAGAGGUCCACUUUGCACAAACUCAUGCCCUAUAUACAUGGCUAACAUAUGUCCAAUAUCCAAUCUACAUAGAAGAAUUAAGUCCCUACCCUCUCACAUCAACUUGGUACAAUUCUGAAAGGAUGAAAUCUUGUGAUUUCCUUACAGACAAUUGCUCUAUCACUCUUUCUCUCCUUUCCAUAUGAAUGACAAUCCUGAAAAUACUGUCCAAUACAUUUUCUGCAUUCAAAGUCCCAUUUUGGAGUCUAUAUUCCAGGCAUCUCAGCUAGCAACAUUGCUAGAUUUUUAUUGUUUUUUUCACAGGUCCAUUUCUUCCAAUAUACCUCACAUAAUAAAUAAAAGAAUAUGCAUCAGAAUACCAUUGGAUUGUGGCUUUGCCUUUUUAAUUAUUUCGAUUGAUUCUCCAUUGUUUAUAACACUGUGUUCAAAUUCCUUAGCUAAAGGAAGUCCUCAGAUUCUGGUGCUAAUUUUCAAAGCCAGCUUCAAAACCUACUAUUCUGCAACAAAACUUUCUACUUCUACUUUCUACUUUAAUUUUCACCAUCUAUUCUUAUAUGUCAUAGCUAUCCCUCCUAUACACUAUGACUUUGUUUAUGAUGAUCACUUGGAAUAACUUACUCUAUACCUUUCCAGACCCUAUCUAUCUUGUAAAAUCCUUCUCAACUCUCUUAUUAACCCUUAGAUUUGUAUUAGCUAAUAGUCACCCUCAUCCUACUCACUAUUCAUAAUUAUCAUCUUUAUUAUUCAAAAAAUCACCGUGAGAAACGAUUGAGCAUCUUAAAUGCAGCUACUGUUUUUAUAAAACAUAACAAUAGCCCAAUCAAGCAAUAAAAAAACUUAAAAAUAGCACAAUUUUGUUAUUAAAAUUUUUAAUUAAUUUAUGGUUUGUAUUGUGUCACCCUUUCCUAAUAUUUAUCUAUGUAAACUUUAGAUUUCCCAAUAUAUUAAUAAUUAAUAUAAGCACUUAAACACAGUAAGGAAUAUGAUUUUUUUAUAUCUGUCUCUGUCUCUGUCCCCCUCUCUCUCUCUUAUUCUCUUCACCUUUAUGAAAUUAAAGUGAUACAAAAAUAUGCAUUCAAAAAUUGCUUGUUGAAUUGAACUGACAGAAUAUAAAUUAGUUUGGAUAAUAUAGGUACGCUUUAUUAGAAAAGAGUGAAAUAAUAUCAUAAAAUAGCCCGAGAACCUUUUAUGUUUUCAAAAAUUAAAAUUAAACAUAAUCUAUAAAGAAUAUGUGUGAAGAUUCCUUUAUGUCACAAAGUUAAAAAAUGAGAACUAAGUCAAUGUAAAAACAAUAAAAACAUUAUCUUUAAAUUUGGAAUGCAUAGAACAAGA
rnacentral:lncRNA from 1 species